UACGGGGGGGGCAAGCGUUGUUCGGAAUUACUGGGCGUAAAGGGCUCGUAGGUGGCCAACUAAGUCAGACGUGAAAUCCCCAGGCUCAACUUGGGAACUGCGUCUGAUAUUGGAUGGCUUGAAUUCGGGAGAGGGAUGCAGAAUUCCAGGUGUAGCGGUGAAAUGCGUAGAUAUCUGGAGGAAUACCGGUGGCGAAGGCGGCAUCCUGGACCGAGAUUGACACUGAUGAGCGAAAGCCAGGGGAGCAAACGGG
rnacentral:rRNA from 1 species